rnacentral:rRNA from 1 species
CAGAGGGGGCUAGCGUUGUCCGGAAUUACUGGGCGUAAAGGGCGCGUAGGUGGCCUGUUAAGUCGAACGUGAAAUCCCCGGGCUCAACCCGGGAACUGCGUCCGAGACUGGCAGGCUCGAAUCCGGGAGAGGGAUGUGGAAUUCCAGGUGUAGCGGUGAAAUGCGUAGAUAUCUGGAGGAACACCGGUGGCGAAGGCGGCAUCCUGGACCGGUAUUGACGCUGAGGCGCGAAAGCCAGGGGAGCAAACGGGAUUAGAUACCCCGGUAGUCCUGGCCCUAAACGAUGAAUGCUUGGUGUGGCGGGUAUCGAUCCCUGCCGUGCCGAAGCUAACGCAUUAAGCAUUCCGCCUGGGGAGUACGGUCGCAAGGCUG